GACGAACGCUGGCGGCGUGCUUAACACAUGCAAGUCGAACGGACAGGCGCUGCUUUUGUUGGGUGCUUGUGUGGCGAACGCGUGAGUAACACGUGAGUAUCCUGCCCUUGUCUUUGGGAUAACUUCAGGAAACUGGGGCUCAUACCGGAUAUGAGCUCCUGCUGCAUGGUGGGCGUUGGAAAGUUUCGGCGGUUGGGGCUCGACUCGCGGCUUAUGAGCUUGUUGGUGGGGUAGUGGCUUACCAAGGCUUUGACGGGUAGCCGGCCUGGGAGGGUGACCGGCGACAUUGGGACUGAGAGACGGACCAGAAUCGAACGGGAGGCAGCAGUGGGGAAUAUUGCACAAUGGGCGGAAGCCUGAGGCAGCAACGCCGCGUGCGGGAUAACGGCCUUCGGGUUGUAAACCGAUUUCGCAUGUGACGAAGCGUGAGUGACGGUAAUGGGUAAAGAAGCACCGGCUAACUACGUG
rnacentral:rRNA from 1 species